rnacentral:tRNA from 1 species
UGGCGUAAUGACAGCGCGUAGAACUCCUAAUGCUGCGAUUCCGGCUUCGAAUCCCAGUUUC